ACCCCCUGCAAUAGGCAAAGAGACACCUUGUUGGUGAUGGUGUCUUAUAUUGCUCAGGGGCAGAGCAGAGGAUACUUCUUUGUUCAUCCUAGCUUGGUGCCUGGCUUGGUGGCCAAAGCUGUCUCAUGCCUAGAACUCAUAA